GUUGUAUGGUUAAGUGACUAAGCGUACACGGUGGAUGCCUUGGCAGUCAGAGGCGAUGAAAGACGUAGUAACUUGCGAUAAGCCCAGAUUAGGUAGUAACAACCAUUUGAGUCUGGGAUUUCUGAAUGGGGAAACCCACGUGCAUAAGCACGUAUCCUUACCUGAAUACAUAGGGUAAGGAGGCGAACCGGGGGAACUGAAACAUCUAAGUACCCCGAGGAAAAGAAAUCAACCGAGAUUCCGAAAGUAGCGGCGAGCGAAAUUGGACUAGCCCUUAAGCUUUACACGCGUUAGACGAACGGUCUGGAAAGUCCGACGAUACAGGGUGAUAGUCCCGUAGUUGACGACGUGUGUUCAGUGAAAUCGAGUAGGGCGGGACACGUGAUAUCCUGUCUGAAUAUGGGGGGACCAUCCUCCAAGGCUAAAUACUACUGACUGACCGAUAGUGAACCAGUACCGUGAGGGAAAGGCGAAAAGAACCCCUGUGAGGGAGUGAAAUAGAACCUGAAACCGUGUACGUACAAGCAGUAGGAGCAGGCUUUGUCCUGUGACUGCGUACCUUUUGUAUAAUGGGUCAGCGACUUAUAUUCAGUGGCAAGGUUAACCAUCUAGGGGAGCCGUAGGGAAACCGAGUCUUAACUGGGCGUUCAGUCUCUGGAUAUAGACCCGAAACCAGGUGAUCUAGCCAUGGGCAGGUUGAAGGUUGAGUAACAUCAACUGGAGGACCGAACCGACUAAUGUUGAAAAAUUAGCGGAUGACUUGUGGCUAGGGGUGAAAGGCCAAUCAAACCUGGAGAUAGCUGGUUCUCCCCGAAAGCUAUUUAGGUAGCGCCUCGGACGAAUACUACUGGGGGUAGAGCACUGUUAAGGCUAGGGGGUCAUCCCGACUUACCAACCCUUUGCAAACUCCGAAUACCAGUAAGUACUAUCCGGGAGACACACGGCGGGUGCUAACGUCCGUCGUGGAGAGGGAAACAACCCAGACCGCCAGCUAAGGUCCCAAAUUACUACUAAGUGGGAAACGAUGUGGGAAGGCUCAGACAGCCAGGAUGUUGGCUUAGAAGCAGCCAUCAUUUAAAGAAAGCGUAAUAGCUCACUGGUCGAGUCGGCCUGCGCGGAAGAUGUAACGGGGCUAAGUAGUAAACCGAAGCUGCGGCAAUGUGCUUUUGCACAUUGGGUAGGGGAGCGUUCUGUAAGCGGUUGAAGGUGUGUGGUAACGCAUGCUGGACGUAUCAGAAGUGCGAAUGCUGACAUGAGUAACGAUAAAGGGGGUGAAAAACCUCCUCGCCGGAAGACCAAGGGUUCCUGUCCAACGUUAAUCGGGGCAGGGUAAGUCGACCCCUAAGGCGAGGCCGAAAGGCGUAGUCGAUGGGAAACGGGUUAAUAUUCCCGUACUUCUUACAAUUGCGAUGGGGGGACGGAGAAGGCUAGGUGGGCCUGGCGACGGUUGUCCAGGUUCAAGUGCGUAGGCUUAAGAGUUAGGUAAAUCCGGCUCUUUUUAAGGCUGAGACACGACGUCGAGCCAUCUACGGAUGUGAAGUCAUUGAUGCCAUGCUUCCAGGAAAAGCCUCUAAGCUUCAGAUUGUAAGGAAUCGUACCCCAAACCGACACAGGUGGUCGGGUAGAGAAUACCAAGGCGCUUGAGAGAACUCGGGUGAAGGAACUAGGCAAAAUGGUACCGUAACUUCGGGAGAAGGUACGCUCUCGACGGUGAAGUCCCUCGCGGAUGGAGCUAUUGAGAGUCGCAGAUACCAGGUGGCUGCAACUGUUUAUUAAAAACACAGCACUGUGCAAAAUCGUAAGAUGACGUAUACGGUGUGACGCCUGCCCGGUGCCGGAAGGUUAAUUGAUGGGGUUAGACUUCGGUCGAAGCUCUUGAUCGAAGCCCCGGUAAACGGCGGCCGUAACUAUAACGGUCCUAAGGUAGCGAAAUUCCUUGUCGGGUAAGUUCCGACCUGCACGAAUGGCGUAAUGAUGGCCACGCUGUCUCCACCCGAGACUCAGUGAAAUUGAAAUCGCUGUGAAGAUGCAGUGUACCCGCGGCUAGACGGAAAGACCCCGUGAACCUUUACUACAGCUUGGCACUGAACAUUGACCCUACAUGUGUAGGAUAGGUGGGAGGCUUUGAAGCACGUACGCCAGUAUGUGUGGAGCCGUCCUUGAAAUACCACCCUUGUAGUGUUGAUGUUCUAACGUCGACCCCUUAUCGGGGUUGCGGACAGUGCCUGGUGGGUAGUUUGACUGGGGCGGUCUCCUCCCAAAGAGUAACGGAGGAGCACGAAGGUGGGCUAAUCACGGUUGGACAUCGUGAGGUUAGUGCAAUGGCAUAAGCCCGCUUGACUGCGAGAAUGACAAUUCGAGCAGGUGCGAAAGCAGAUCAUAGUGAUCCGGUGGUUCUGAAUGGAAGGGCCAUCGCUCAACGGAUAAAAGGUACUCCGGGGAUAACAGGCUGAUACCGCCCAAGAGUUCAUAUCGACGGCGGUGUUUGGCACCUCGAUGUCGGCUCAUCACAUCCUGGGGCUGAAGUCGGUCCCAAGGGUAUGGCUGUUCGCCAUUUAAAGUGGUACGCGAGCUGGGUUUAGAACGUCGUGAGACAGUUCGGUCCCUAUCUGCCGUGGGCGUUGGAAGAUUGAAGGGGGCUGCUCCUAGUACGAGAGGACCGGAGUGGACGAACCUCUGGUGUUCGGGUUGUGUCGCCAGACGCAUUGCCCGGUAGCUAAGUUCGGAAUCGAUAACCGCUGAAAGCAUCUAAGCGGGAAGCGAGCCCUGAGAUGAGUCUUCCCUGAUACUUUAAGUAUCCUAAAGGGUUGUCGGAGACUACGACGUUGAUAGGUCAGGUGUGUAAGUGCUGUGAGGCAUUGAGCUAACUGAUACUAAUUGCCCGUGAGGCUUAACCAUACAACACCCAAGGGGUUU
rnacentral:rRNA from 1 species